AGCCCUGAAAGAAAUGGAGAGAUGAAUGGUGAUGAGAAAUGCAAAUUACUGUGGCAAGUAUUACUAGUGCCAUGGCCUUUUCAUGGUCAUGUGAUAAUAGUAUCCUGGAGGGAAUAUCAUCCCUCACCCUGGACCUCACCUGAAGAAUAAACUUUGAGUGGAACCUGAAGAAGGAAUAGCUGUAAAAUAGAACAAAGUAUUAUGCCUCAAGUGAUUAUCGGAGAGUCUGUGGAAAGGUGACAGGAGAAGCAAAAAGGUAAAGGACAGCAGUGGUGGAGACUCACUUGCCAGUUUGAUAGCUGGCUGGUUCUGGAAGAGAUGGCAUCCAUGGAAGAUGAACGACUAUGGAGAAUAGAGGCACAAAAUGUCCAGGAGUCACUGGUGGGAAGGCUAGAUAGGCAAGCAAACAGAUAAUAUCUAUGCAUUGCCUCUACUAAGAGGUCUAGAUUCCUAAACUAGAAUUCAAUUUUUGAUAAUAGGCUACUGGACAGAGGAGGGAUCAUAGCAUGAAGUGUACUGUGUUUAGAGUUGGAAUUUUGUUUUACUUAAAGAGGAAAAAAAUAAACUGAAAUUCCUCUGGAA